UACGUAGGGCGCGAGCGUUAAUCGGAAUCACUGGGCGUAAAGGGUGCGUAGGCGGGUCUUUAAGUCAGGGGUGAAAUCCUGGAGCUCAACUCCAGAACUGCCUUUGAUACUGAGGAUCUUGAGUUCGGGAGAGGUGAGUGGAACUGCGAGUGUAGAGGUGAAAUUCGUAGAUAUUCGCAAGAACACCAGUGGCGAAGGCGGCUCACUGGCCCGAUACUGACGCUGAGGCACGAAAGCGUGGGGAGCAAACAGG
rnacentral:rRNA from 1 species